UCACUUCACAUCUGAUUAACACAUCUUUUAAUUUACUUCCCUUGGCUAGUCUUCAAACUGAUUAAUCUGUUAUUUUAAGAUUUUAUGGAAAGUGCUAGGGGAAGUGCAAAAGAGAUGAAUACUUGGACCAGUAUCAUACCCAAGACAUUCAAAUUUUCAAUAAUGUUUAAGCAGGUCAUUAGGUGUCAGAUUCUACCUCCAGGGCUCACCUGCCUGGCUGCUCAGUUUGCUGAUCUUUUUCAGUCAAAUGUGUGAGCAGAACUCUGGGAAGGCUGACAGGCUGCGUGAAGCAGAUAGCUCAGUCUUAAUAUAAGGUAGCAAUGAUCAGCUUCGCAGUAUCUGCCCGAAUGGGUUUGGCACAUCACUUUGUGACAGGACUGCAAGAUGUUGUAGGAAGAGCUAUUUGUCAGAUCUUGGUGGCACUGUUGGUGUGUUCCCUGUGUACUGGUACUUUUUCUACUUAUGAUACAGUGCAAAUCUCCAGGCUAGUAGGUGCCAGCAACCUCAUUAAAAUGUCAGGUAUUACUAGUGCUAGUCAUCAUCCACUUCUGUUGGGCAAUUAAUUUGUGAGAGAUGAGGUAGUUGCUAAGAAUACUUUUUGCCAAACUGAGGUCAACUCUUUGUACUCUGAAGCGAGGAAAAUACAUAAGUAGCCCUAAAUUGAGCAUAAAAAGUAAGGCAACUACAGGAUUUGCCAGUUCCUGAGAGCCUGGAGAAAUGUCAUAUCAACCCAAGCAUCAACCUGGAUGUCAUGAUUUGGCCAAAACAAUGACACAGGACAAUAGCAAUAAAAAGCCAUGUGAUCUGAAAGACUUAAGCUUCGUCAUCUCCAAGAACUGCAACCGGAUUGUCUGCACCUUGUGGUUCAUUCCAUGGAGUCGAAACCUCUGUAGCUCAACAAUGAGGAAGAGAAGACACCGGAGGAAGAGGCAGAGAGUGCAUUGCAUUCAACAGAUGCACAGCUUUCCUAGCAGAAGGAAGAGAAGGAGUCCAGUGGCAAACAGGCAACCUCCUAGGACUUGCAACUACUCCCCAACAGCUGCAAGCCUGUUACAAACUGUCUACAGGAGACAAAAAUUGAGGUUACUGAUGUUCAGCAGAUGAAAAACUGAAACAAACACCACUCAGGAGACUUAAUUUCUUUUACAUGCCAUAUGUAUGGGAGUAAUGAAGAUAGCAUGACUGCCUGCUGUGGAUUGUGAAGUCCAGGAGAUGGAAAAGGAAAGAAAAAUCCCAAUGAAGCAAGAAGUACAGAAAGUCAGAAGGAAGAAAUCAAGUGAUGGUAGAAACACAGUGACCACAAUGAAUCACCACAUUUCUAACUGUGAUAGAAACUAUUUGCAGUUUGUAAGCACAGCUACUCACAAGCAGCAGCCUCUACUUAUUUAAAAUAUCAAAACAGGCCAUUUCACCGAACUAACUUCGUUGCUUCAGCACUGGCUGCCCACUACUGCUCACUUGUAGAGGCUAACACAGUCCUCUGUGGGAGUGACUGGCUGAACCAAACCAUCCAAACUCACAGUUUGAAGUGUUGGGUCCCUAAGUCAUCACUGCACCACAUUCUAAUCUGCAGCAACCUUACAGUAGUUCCUAUAAUUCUCUUGUGCAGUUAGAAGUAAGAACCAAGAAACUAAUUGACUUGACCAAAAAGAACUGAAACUAUAUUAUCUUCCCACUUAAAGUACUGCUGUAAACCUUGGUCAGUACAUUAUUCCUGCCUUUGCUGUUUCAGUUGUUAUCUAGAAACAGAAGAUAGUAUGCUGCCUUCCUUCCCUUGUGCUAUUUUAGGAGCAGCUACUGCCAGCAGUUAAGUUUCCUUGUGGGAAGGAAUGAAAAGCAUCUAUUUAUUUUAGAGAUAGGCUUUUGAGUGGGAAUAUUGGGCUAUAAGAGAAACGAUUCAAGAUGAUAAGCUUGUGUGUGCAUAUUUUUGGCAUCUUAAUAAAUUACCAACUUGAGAGAGAA